UAGGGAAUAUUGGUAAUGGGCGAAAGCCUGAACCAGCAACGCCGCGUGUGCGAUGAAGGCCUUCGGGUCGUAAAGCACCUUUUGGAGGGAUGAGGAAGGACAGUACCUCCAGAAUAAGCCUCGGCUAACUACGUGCCAGCAGCCGCGGUAACACGUAGGAGGCAAGCGUUAUUCGGAUUUACUGGGCGUAAAGCGCGUGCAGGCGGUUCGGAAAGUUGGAUGUGAAAGCUCCUGGCUUAACUGGGAGAGGUCGUUCAAUACUUCCGGACUUGAGAGUGGGAGAGGGAGGUGGAAUUCCGGGUGUAGUGGGGAAAUGCGUAGAUAUCCGGAGGACACCAGUGGCGAAAGCGGCCUCCUGGCCCAUUUCUGACGCUCAGACGCGAAAGCUAGGGUAGCAAACGG
rnacentral:rRNA from 1 species